rnacentral:rRNA from 1 species
CGCUGGCGGCGUGCUUAACACAUGCAAGUCGAACGGAAAGGCCCUUCGGGGUACUCGAGUGGCGAACGGGUGAGUAACACGUGGGUGAUCUGCCCUGCACUUUGGGAUAAGCCUGGGAAACUGGGUCUAAUACCGAAUAGGACCACGCGCUUCAUGGUGUGUGGUGGAAAGCUUUUGCGGUGUGGGAUGGGCCCGCGGCCUAUCAGCUUGUUGGUGGGGUAAUGGCCUACCAAGGCGACGACGGGUAGCCGGCCUGAGAGGGUGACCGGCCACACUGGGACUGAGAUACGGCCCAGACUCCUACGGGAGGCAGCAGUGGGGAAUAUUGCACAAUGGGCGCAAGCCUGAUGCAGCGACGCCGCGUGAGGGAUGACGGCCUUCGGGUUGUAAACCUCUUUCAAUAGGGACGAAGCGUGAGUGACGGUACCUAUAGAAGAAGCACCGGCCAACUACGUG